rnacentral:rRNA from 1 species
CGCUGGCGGCGCGCUUACACAUGCAAGUCGCACGAGAAAGGGGCAACCUGAGUAAAGUGGCGUACGGGUGAGUAACACGUGGAUCAUCUACCUUUUAGUGGGGAAUAACCCUGGGAAACCGGGGCUAAUACCGCAUAAUCCUGUGAAGGGAAAGCAGCAAUGCGCUGAAAGAGGAGUCCGCGGCUGAUUAGCUAGUUGGUGAGGUAAUGGCUCACCAAGGCGAAGAUCGGUAGCCGGCCUGAGAGGGCACACGGCCACACUGGCACUGAAACACGGGCCAGACUCCUACGGGAGGCAGCAGUGGGGAAUCUUGCACAAUGGAGGAAACUCUGAUGCAGCGACGCCGCGUGAGCGAUGAAGCCCUUCGGGGUGUAAAGCUCUUUCGACGGGAACGAUAAUGACGGUACCCGAAGAAGAAGCUGCGGCUAACUACGUGCCAGCAGCCGCGGUAAUACGUAGGCAGCGAGCGUUGUUCGGAAUUACUGGGCGUAAAGAGUACGUAGGCGGUGCUCUAAGUCUGGUGUGAAAUCUCCCGGCUCAACUGGGAGGGUGCGCCGGAAACUGGAGUGCUCGAGUGCGGGAGAGGUAAGCGGAAUUCCUGGUGUAGCGGUGAAAUGCGUAAAUAUCAGGAGGAACACCUGUGGUGUAGACAGC